rnacentral:rRNA from 1 species
GAGCUUGCUCUUAUGAAGUUAGCGGCGGACGGGUGAGUAACACGUGGGUAACCUACCCAUAAGACUGGGAUAACUCCGGGAAACCGGGGCUAAUACCGGAUAAUAUUUUGAACUGCAUAGUUCGAAAUUGAAAGGCGGCUUCGGCUGUCACUUAUGGAUGGACCCGCGUCGCAUUAGCUAGUUGGUGAGGUAACGGCUCACCAAGGCAACGAUGCGUAGCCGACCUGAGAGGGUGAUCGGCCACACUGGGACUGAGACACGGCCCAGACUCCUACGGGAGGCAGCAGUAGGGAAUCUUCCGCAAUGGACGAAAGUCUGACGGAGCAACGCCGCGUGAGUGAUGAAGGCUUUCGGGUCGUAAAACUCUGUUGUUAGGGAAGAACAAGUGCUAGUUGAAUAAGCUGGCACCUUGACGGUACCUAACCAGAAAGCCACGGCUAACUACGUGCCAGCAGCCGCGGUAAUACGUAGGUGGCAAGCGUUAUCCGGAAUUAUUGGGCGUAAAGCGCGCGCAGGUGGUUUCUUAAGUCUGAUGUGAAAGCCCACGGCUCAACCGUGGAGGGUCAUUGGAAACUGGGAGACUUGAGUGCAGAAGAGGAAAGUGGAAUUCCAUGUGUAGCGGUGAAAUGCGUAGAGAUAUGGAGGAACACCAGUGGCGAAGGCGACUUUCUGGUCUGUAACUGACACUGAGGCGCGAAAGCGUGGGGAGCAAACAGGAUUAGA